ACUUUCGAUGGUAGGAUAGAGGCCUACCAUGGUGGUAACGGGUAACGGGGUGUUAGGGCACGACACCGGAGAGGGAGCCUGAGAAACGGCUACCACAUCCAAGGAUGGCAGCAGGCGCGCAAAUUACCCAAUCCCGACACGGGGAGGUAGUGACAAUAAAUAACAAUACGGGGUUCUUUAGGAUCUCGUAAUUGGAAUGAGUACAAUUUAAAUCUCUUAACGAGGAACAAUUGGAGGGCAAGUCUGGUGCCAGCAGCCGCGGUAAUUCCAGCUCCAAUAGCGUAUAUUAAAGUUGUUGCAGUUAAAAAGCUCGUAGUUGAAUUUCGGGGUUAGUAGGUUGGUCAUGCCUCUGGUAUGUACUGGUCUCACUGAUUCCUCCUUCCUGAUGAGCCGUAAUGCCAUUAAUUUGGUGUUGCGGGGAAUUUGGACUGUUACUUUGAAAAAAUUAGAGUGUUUAAAGCAAGCUAACGCUUGAAUACAUUAGCAUGGAAUAAUGAAAUAGGACGUUCGAUCCUAUUUUGUUGGUUUCUAGGAUUGACGUAAUGAUUAAUAGGGAUAGUUGGGGGCAUUAGUAUUCAAUUGUCAGAGGUGAAAUUCUUGGAUUUAUUGAAGACUAACUACUGCGAAAGCAUUUGCCAAGGAUGUUUUCAUUAAUCAAGAACGAAAGUUAGGGGAUCGAAGACGAUCAGAUACCGUCGUAGUCUUAACCAUAAACUAUGCCGACUAGGGAUCGGAUGAUGUUAAUUUUUUAAUGACUCAUUCGGCGCCUUACGGGAAACCAAAGUGUUUGGGUUC
rnacentral:rRNA from 2 species